rnacentral:rRNA from 1 species
AUGACAGGCCGCCAGGCCGGAGAGCUGCCCACCUCUUCCCGACAUCGCUCGAUCAUGGCGUCGUCGGCGGAGCCGCCGCCGAAGAAGCGGAAGCUCGUAGAGGCCCAGACCCCGAGCCCCUCAGGCACUCCGCGGCCGCCCCCGCCUCUGCCCCCAGGCCUCCCCCCUACCCCGCCGCCCCCCGAAACCCUAGCAGCGGCGGCGCCCUCCGCCCCACCACCUCCCCCUCAGUCGCCGCCGCCGACACCGGAGGAACUCCACCGCAAGCGCAGCAACCGGGAGGAGCUGCGCAAACUCUUCGAGUGCUACCGCCGCAUCCGCCUCUGCGUGGAGCGCAAGGACGCGCGUCUCAUGCCCGAGCUCGAGCAGGUCUACCUCGCCCUCAUCACCGCGUCCCGAGGUUGCACAAGUGUACAACGUAUCUUAGCUAAGCUGAUUCCUCAAUAUGCCUCGUAUUGUCCUACUGCACUUGAGGCAGCUGCUAAAGUCUCCAUCAAGAUGUACAAUUGGAACUUGGCCAUUGUAACAAGAGGGGAGGAUGCAGAUGGUGUGGCAUAUCGGACUGCUAGGGCUUGUAUUGUUGGCUUAGUUGACAUAUGCUCCACAGCAUCUCUUGAAGCUCCCAAGUCAUCUGUUAUCACAGGAAUCUGCUCUGCAGUCUAUAUGACUGUUCUCACUUUCUUCAUUUCAACAUUUGAUGGGAAGGAUAUCCAUCAUAUAGGCUCCAGAAGACUUUCAAAGCUUCAGGACCCCAUGGAGUUAUUAGAGAUUUUAAAGCAGGAGUCAGGGGAUGAUAGCCAACUGGCGCAUGAUUGUUUGUUUGAACUGAGGGCACAAUCCUUGCUAUGCAUAUUUCUUUUAUCCCCAGAGAACCUAUUAGAAGCAUGUUUUGCGUUGAUUGCUUCUGCAGAAACUGACCAUAUAAGAGGACUGUACUUUUUAAAUCAGCUGACCUGCAAUAUGAGCAAUGGUAUCUCAGAUCUUGCUCUGGACAAUAACGCUGAUGUGGCCUCACAGUGUACUGAGAUGGAAAUAGAUCUGUCUGGCACCAAAGAGAUUGUUGAUUCAAAGCCUUCUUCUGAUGCGUCUGGCGUUUCAGGAAGGUCUAUGGUAGAAUCAAAUGAGUGUUACAUCACAAUGGCAAUAUCUAGACAUCCAUCUUUGAGAGGUUGGCUACUGCGGAGGUACAAAAAGUUAUGCGAUUCCUGUGGAUCUACUGUGCUUUCAGAGGUAUCAUCUUGUUUAAAAGUUUUGGGCUCUUUAUCAGAACUUGACGAGGAUAAAAGUUCCAUGGACUGUGAACCAUCAGUGCUGGAGAAGCCUGACAAAAGUGCAGGAGAAAAAACUGUCAAUAUUGAUACCCAUGUAUUAAAGUCUGUGCAGACAGAUGAUGUGAAAACUGAGAAGCUAGCAGAUGCGAAAACUGGUGGCCGCAAGAGUGCAAGACCUGAUCUUUAUGUUGCUUCUGUCUCGAGCGAUGUAAUUUCGGUCUCAAAGGAACUUUGGGUUGGUUCACUGGGGAAUAGUGCUGCAGAGGCACUAGUUCGAUCUAAAUUCGAGGAGUUUGGCCCAUUAACGAACUUUUUAUUUUAUCCUUCCAAAGAAUUUGCCUUGAUUGAAUAUGGAAACAUAGUGCACGCUGUUCGGGCAUGUGGAUAUAUGCGGGGCUCCUCUAUUUGGGGUGGUGAUCUUCAAAUAAGGUAUUUAGAUAGACUUAUAGGUAGCAAGGGAUUUGUUGGUGGUAUAGCUGUUGGUGAAAGUUGCCAUAUUUAUGUUGGUAAAGUCAAGAAUCAGAAAGAAAAAGAUGAGGUGUUCGAUGAAUUGAAGUCAGCAGGCCUGAAGAGGCCAUGUGGCUGUAUCGAUAUCUCGGGCGAAAAUGCUUUCAUUCUUGAAUUUGAGACAUCAGUUGAUGCAGCUGUUGCAAAAGCCCAUAUUAGGCGCCAAGCUCAUUCAGAUGUUUGUUCCCAGGAUAAGAAUACAUCUGUUCAUCAACUUUUGGUACAUAACAUGGACAAGUCAAUCCCUGAGACGGAAUUUAUCAAUGCUUUCUCACGAUUUGGUGAGGUCAGUAGGUGGCAGUUUAAUCGGAUUGAUGGGAGCUGCUUGAUAGAUUAUGAAUCACACAGUGCUGCUGCCUGUGCAAAGUCGCAGAUGCAUGGUGCAAGGUUUGGCUUGAAGUUGAUUAGUGUUGAAUCUAGGACAUGCAGCGUAGGAGCUGUUCACGAUAAAACAUUUUCACCUGUUAUUCGAAUGCCAGCCCAGAACCUUCCGGACAGCAGCAGUCACCAUGAGAUCAGUGAUGGGAACAUAUGCAGGAAUCCAAGGGUUUCAGCUUAUCAUACAGGUUACACAGUACAAGGGGAUCGGCCAAUAUAUGGUCCACCACCUCCCAAUACACAACAAUUAUGGCAGUACAAGGAUCUAGAGUCAAACAGGGCUCCACAAGGAAUGCCUCCCUGCCCACCUGUUUCUGCACAUCGUUCUUCUGUAAUGCCACCACCACCACCUCCUAUCCAAACUUCUUUUGUUCGUCCUGUAUAUCCUGGUCCGGGCAGUCCAUGGGAAAACACUACACCAAAUCCACCCUUCGGCCGUGUUUCUCCUCGCAUUGUUUCUCCUCGCAUGAUGCCCGGAAGUAGCUUCCGUAUUCCGUCUGCUCCUCCUUUCAUACCGUCUUGUGUCACCCCUCGUACACCUAUACCAAAUGUAGCUCCCUCACCAUUUACACCUCUAGAUAUGCCACCUCCACCACUAUCUCCACCACCAUUACCUGUUUCCGAGCCACCUUCUGUUCCACCGCCCCCAAGUUCUCCUCCGGCACAACCUUCAACUGAUCCUUGUAAUUCACAGAAGCCAUGCCCUCAUCCUCAAUGGCAGGGUUCUCUUACAAAAAGUGGCAUACACUACUGCACAAUAUAUGCAAGUAGAAUAGAGUUGGAUGCCUGUAGAUACGGAAGUACUGUUUCUGAACCAGCAGAAUGGCCCUCAAGAUUAGAUGUUCUAAAGCGCACAGCUUUCCAGCACGCAAAGACAAUCAUCUCCAAUGCUCCACCUAAUAAAAAAGAAGUCUGUCGGUUGUUGCCUUGUUCGAAUGAUGAUCAGAAAGGGUUCCGGGAUUUCAUCUCCUAUCUGAAGCUGAACAAGUACGCCGGGGUCAUAAAGAUUGCUCCUGUGAAGCCCAUGGGGUCGAGGCUGCUAUUUAUCCUUCCUCCCACAUCCGAGGUGUUUGGACUGCUAGGCCUUCCGCCUCAACCGACUGAGUGUCUAAUCGCUGUGGUUCUGCCAAAGGAAACAACCACUGAAGUGUCUUGA